GAUGAACGCUGGCGGCGUGCCUAAUACAUGCAAGUCGAGCGAACAGACGAGGAGCUUGCUCCUCUGACGUUAGCGGCGGACGGGUGAGUAACACGUGGAUAACCUACCUAUAAGACUGGGAUAACUUCGGGAAACCGGAGCUAAUACCGGAUAACAUGUUGAACCGCAUGGUUCAACAGUGAAAGACGGUCUUGCUGUCGCUUAUAGAUGGAUCCGCGCCGCAUUAGCUAGUUGGUAAGGUAACGGCUUACCAAGGCAACGAUGCGUAGCCGACCUGAGAGGGUGAUCGGCCACACUGGAACUGAGGCACGGUCCAGAGUCCUACGGGAGGCAGCAGUAGGGAAUCUUCCGCAAUGGGCGAAAGCCUUACGGAGCAACGCCGCGUGAGUGAAGAAGGUCUUCGGAUCGGAAAACUCUGUUAUUAGGGAAGAACAAAUGUGUAAGUAACUAUGCACGUCUUGACGGUACCUAAUCAGAAAGCCACGGCUAACUACGUG
rnacentral:rRNA from 1 species